AUUGAACGCUGGCGGCAUGCUUUACACAUGCAAGUCGAACGGCAGCGCGGGCUUCGGCCUGGCGGCGAGUGGCGAACGGGUGAGUAAUGCAUCGGAACGUGCCCAGUAGUGGGGGAUAGCCCGGCGAAAGCCGGAUUAAUACCGCAUACGACUUGAGGGUGAAAGCGGGGGACCGAAAGGCCUCGGGCUAUUGGAGGGGCCGAUGUCGGAUUAGCUAGUUGGUGGGGUAAAGGCUUACCAAGGCGACGAUCCGUAGCUGGUCUGAGAGGACGACCAGCCACACUGGGACUGAGACACGGCCCAGACUCCUACGGGAGGCAGCAGUGGGGAAUUUUGGACAAUGGGGGCAACCCUGAUCCAGCCAUGCCGCGUGCGGGAAGAAGGCCUUCGGGUUGUAAACCGCUUUUGUUCGGGAAGAAAUCCUCUGGGCUAAUACCCCGGGGGGAUGACGGUACCGGAAGAAUAAGCACCGGCUAACUACGUG
rnacentral:rRNA from 1 species